rnacentral:rRNA from 1 species
UACGGGGGGGGCAAGCGUUGUUCGGAAUUACUGGGCGUAAAGGGCGCGUAGGCGGCUUUGCGUGUCUUUCGUGAAAUCCCUCGGCUCAACCGAGGACGUGCGGAGGAAACUGCGAGGCUCGAGUCCAGAAGAGGGGGGCGGAAUUCCCAGUGUAGCGGUGAAAUGCGUAGAUAUUGGGAGGAACACCGGUGGCGAAGGCGGCCCCCUGGGCUGGUACUGACGCUGAUGCGCGAAAGCGUGGGUAGCAAACGGG